UACGUAGGGUGCGAGCGUUGUCCGGAAUUAUUGGGCGUAAAGAGCUCGUAGGCGGUUUGUCGCGUCGACUGUGAAAACUGGGGGCUUAACUCUCAGCUUGCAGUUGAUACGGGCAGACUUGAGUUCGGUAGGGGAGACUGGAAUUCCUGGUGUAGCGGUGAAAUGCGCAGAUAUCAGGAGGAACACCGGUGGCGAAGGCGGGUCUCUGGGCCGAUACUGACGCUGAGGAGCGAAAGCGUGGGGAGCAAACGGG
rnacentral:rRNA from 1 species